UACGUAGGGGGCGAGCGUUGUCCGGAAUUAUUGGGCGUAAAGAGCGUGUAGGCGGUUCGGUAAGUCUGUCGUGAAAACCUGGGGCUCAACCCCAGGCGUGCGGUGGAUACUGCCGGGCUAGAGGAUGGUAGAGGCGAGUGGAAUUCCCGGUGUAGCGGUGAAAUGCGCAGAUAUCGGGAGGAACACCAGUAGCGAAGGCGGCUCGCUGGGCCAUACCUGACGCUGAGACGCGAAAGCGUGGGAGCAACAGGAUUAAGAA
rnacentral:rRNA from 1 species